rnacentral:rRNA from 1 species
GACGAACGCUGGCGGCGUGCUUAACACAUGCAAGUCGAACGGAAAGGCCCUUCGGGGUACUCGAGUGGCGAACGGGUGAGUAACACGUGGGUGAUCUGCCCUGCACUUUGGGAUAAGCCUGGGAAACUGGGUCUAAUACCGAAUACACCCUUCUGGCUGCAUGGUCUGGGAGGGGAAAGCUUUUGCGGUGUGGGAUGGGCCCGCGGCCUAUCAGCUUGUUGGUGAGGUUACGGCUCACCAAGGCGACGACGGGUAGCCGGCCUGAGAGGGUGACCGGCCACACUGGGACUGAGAUACGGCCCAGACUCCUACGGGAGGCAGCAGUGGGGAAUAUUGCACAAUGGGCGCAAGCCUGAUGCAGCGACGCCGCGUGAGGGAUGACGGCCUUCGGGUUGUAAACCUCUUUCGCCAGGGACGAAGCGCAAGUGACGGUACCUGGAGAAGAAGGACCGGCCAACUACGUGCCAGCCGCCGCCGUAACAC